rnacentral:rRNA from 1 species
AGUAUUCUAUUAGUAGUAUAAUAAAUAUUUUUAAUUGAUAAAAUUAUCAAUUAGUAUAAAAAGAAAUUAUUAUGAGUAAAAACAAGCUAUAAACCAAAUAAUUUAUUAAGAAAAAUCUUAUAAAUAAACAAGGUGAAAGGAAAAAUCUGAAUAACCUUAGGAAAAUAAAUCAAACGAGAUUCUAUAUACAAUGAGAAGUAAGAUAGAAUAGCCUAUAAAUAUAUAAGUAAAAUGGAAUAUCUGUUUGAAUAAAGGGGAACCUUCCUCUAAGGCUAAAUAUGGUAUUAUACGCAAUAGUGAACAGUACCGUGAGGGAAAUUUAUUUAAUAGUAAUUUUAUAAGCAGCUCGAGAAAAAUUUUAAUAAAUAACAAGAGCGUACCUUUUGCAUAAUGGGUCAGCAAGUUAAUUUUAGAUGCAAGGAACAAGAUUAUGCAUUGAAGAUAAUAAUCACUUAGUUUCGUAGAGAAAUCGAUUAUGAAAAAAUGAUAAAGUAUCUAAAAUUAGACCCGAAGGCUAGUGAUCUUACCGUUAUCAGGAUUAUAAAAGUCCGAACGGGUUAUCGUUGUAAAGAUAUCCGAAGAAUAAUGGUAAGUUAGUGAAAGACAAAACUGACUAGCUGAGCUGGUUUUCCGCGAAACCUAUAUAAGUAGGUAAUUUAAACAACAUCUUGGCAGGUACAGAACUGUGAUCUCGGUCAAAAUAUUUAUAAUGUAAAAACAUUAUAAAUUUGUAUAUAUCGGGGGAUCGUAAAGAUUUUAUCGGAGAGUAUUUGCACUCGGAAGGGCUAAGAUGAAUGUUAAACAAUCGGACAUAGUACGAUAAGGUUGUAUGUCAAAAGGGAAACAGCCCAGAACAAGAGUUAAUAAGGUUCCAAAAUUAUUGUUGAGUGAAAUUAAGGAUGUGUCUUUUAAUACGAUCAAUUAAUAGGCUUGGAAGCGGCCACAUUUUAAUGAUCUCGUAACAGAGCAUUGAUUUUUUAAGAAGAUCACACCGAAAAUAUAACGGAUCUAAACAAUAUACCGAAACCUUGUCCAUAUAUAGUUUAUUUUUUAACAAAAUAUAUAUGGGGUAGCGGAACAAUGGAUAAAUCAUAAUUAUUUUUUUUUAAUUUUAAUUUUUUAUUUUCCAUGUGAUAAUGCUGACAUGAGUAACGAAAAAGAUAAUUUUCGCCUUAAGCUUAUGGUUUUGAAUUAAGCCGGCUUCUAAGCAAAUAAGUUUUUAUUGAUUUAUCCCAUAAAAUAAUCUGAGAUAAAAAAUAAAAACUUGUUAUUGCGAUGAAAUAAUCUGAGAUAUAAACUAAUUAAAGUUUAAUUAGUUCAGGAAAAAUAACUCAGGGAUGAAUAAAAGGGAGUAUUAAGUGCAAUCCUGUGAAAAAGCUUAUAUUCAUUUCAUUUGAACCGUACCUAGAAACUAACACAAGUAAGCUAGUAGAGAAUACGAAGGCGUUUGAGUGAUCAAUCAUUAAGGAACUCGGCAAAAUGACUCGCGUAACUUCGGGAUAAGGUGAGCCAUUCUUUGUAAGUUAAUGAUAAAGUAGAGGGGAAACCCUGCUCUUUAAGUAUAUAACUAAGAGAAUAGGAGGCAUAGAAUAGUGUUGUACGACUGUUUAUUUAAAACAGAGCACUCUGCUAAGAUAGACAUCGAUAUAUUGAGUGUGAUGUCUGCCCGGUGUCGGCUGGGUGACGGAUUUGCUUAGAAUUAAAAAGCUAGGUUUUGAAGAGAUCCCCGACAAACGGCGGCCUUACCGAUGAGGGUCCUAAGGUAGCGGAAUACCCUGGCCGUUAAAUGCGGUCUUGCAUGAAUGAUGUAACGAUACAACAGCUGUCUCGAUGAUUGGCUCAGUGAAAUUGGAAUAGCAGUGCAGAUACUGUUUACCUCUAGAUAGACGAGAGUGCGACUAGAAAGUACAUAAUAAUAAUAUGGUGAAAACCCAUCUUACGGUCCAUUGUAUGAGCUCAUGCGGUAUGCAAAAAAAGUAAUUUUUUUGUGUAGAGCCCGUAAAAUUUCUGCCUUUUUAGGGAGAUGAGCUAGAUUAUUAUGAAUAAAUUAUUUGAAUCCAUGGUUAAAGCGUAAUCUAGAAAAUUUUUUUUAAUAAAUUUCUUGUUGAUUGUACAAAAAGUUUCUCGUCUUUUUGUUUAUGGAUCUUAUAUCAACAUACGUGUAGUGGAAUUCUAAGAUAAUCAUUAAGGUAUUAUUAUGUAAACUAGGUAAGCCCAAUAAUGUCCUUUUAAGGAAGUUUAAUUGUAAAAUUAAAUAUACAUUAGUGGGUAAAGGAUGUUCUAAAAAGCAAAAGUCUUAUUGUAAUAAUAGGAAUAGAUUUUUAAUUGAUUCGAAAGAAUGCAGACUUAGAACUAGGAUUUAACAUUAUAUAAAAUAUAGUAAUAGAGAAUUGGCUGAGUGGUUUAUAGCGGUAAGCUUGAAACUUAUUUGAUUCAAAAAAUCACAUCCGUUCAAAUCGGAUAUUCUCUGGUAUUUAUGUUAUUUAUAAAAAUAUAAUUAUUAAAUCUUUGAGCCGUAUGCGAUGAAAAUCGCAUGUACGGUUCUUGAAGGGGGAAAUUUUAGUAAUAAAAUGACCUAUCUUAACAGACCCUUUGCAGCUUU